rnacentral:misc_RNA from 1 species
AACGCACAUUGCGCCCUUUGGUAUUCCGAAGGGCAUGCCUGUUCGAGCGUCAUUUAGCCAAUCAAGCUUAAGCUUGGUUUUGGGUGUGUAGGUUCCUUUAUACGAGAACCUUGCCUGUAACAUAUAGGUUGAUAAUUCUCCAAGUCUUGAGCGUAGCAAAAAAAUUAAUUUCGCGUUUUAGAUGAUGAGAAGCAUCUCGGGCCUUAAAGAAAAAAUUUCUAAAUUUUGACCUCGGAUCAGGUAGGGAUACCCGCUGAACUUAA